rnacentral:rRNA from 1 species
UACGAAGGGGGCUAGCGUUGUUCGGAUUUACUGGGCGUAAAGCGCACGUAGGCGGAUUGUUAAGUCAGGGGUGAAAUCCCGGAGCUCAACUCCGGAACUGCCUUUGAUACUGGCAAUCUUGAGGCUGGAAGAGGUUAGUGGAAUUCCCAGUGUAGAGGUGAAAUUCGUAGAUAUUGGGAAGAACACCAGUGGCGAAGGCGGCUAACUGGACCGGCACUGACGCUGAGGCGCGAAAGCGUGGGGAGCAAACAGG